rnacentral:lncRNA from 1 species
AUUUUUUUUUUGUUAUAUUUAUAUUGAUCUUUCAAGUCCAUUUUUAAAAUUUGGCUUUUUCUUUAUUAACAUUUUUUUUUUUUUUUUUUUUUUUUCUGUGCUUAAAAUACCUAAUUUGAAUUUUUUUUACAAACUCAGUUUAAAAGAAGAAAAAAAAAGAUAAUAUACCUAGCUAUUUUUUUUUUUUAUGUAACCCUACAAAAAAUAUAUAUAUAUUAUAUGUACGUACGUACGUAUGCACACAUAUAUGUUUAUAUCAAAGUAAAACAAUAUGGCAACAAACAAAAUUGACGAUUCUCCUUUUAUUUCUAAGAUGGAGAAUUUUGAAAUAUCUGAUAAAAAAAAUAAUGAUUGUAAAAAUGAAUUAAAAAAUGUAUAUAGGAAUUUAGACAAUGANNNNNNNNNNNNNNNNNNNNNNNNNNNNNNNNNNNNNNNNNNNNNNNNNNNNNNNNNNNNNNNNNNNNNNNNNNNNNNNNNNNNNNNNNNNNNNNNNNNNUUUUUUUUUUUUAUGUCACCCUACAAAAAAAAAAUAUAUAUUAUAUGUAUGUAUGUAUGUAUGUAUGUAUGUAUGCAUGCACAUAUAUAUGUUUACACUAAAGUAAAACAAUAUGGCAACAAAAAAAAUAGACGACUCUCCUUUUAUUUCUAAGAUGGAGAAUUUUGAAAUAUCUGAUAAAAAAAAUAACGAUUGUAAAAAUGAAUUACAAAAUGUGUAUAGGAACUUAGAUAAUGAAUUUAAUUUUGAUGAAGAUAAAGGGGAAGGCAAUAAAAAUGAUGAGGAGGCAGAACAAGAUCAAGAGCAAGAAGAUAAAAAGAAACAAAGUAGUUUUAAGAAUAAUUUUAAAAAUGAUAAUAAGAAAGAUGUGAAAAUAAAAACAAUUAAAAUUGAUAGAAAAAAACUAAAAAAAAUGUUUAGUAGUCAAUUUUUUACUCAAACUUUAACUGAUUCUUCUAGUACAGAAUCCAUAAAAGAAAUAAAGACAAAUAAAAAAUAUAUGUUUAUGGAAAUUAUUAAAAUGCUUUUAAUCAUGAUUUUAUUUUUUAUUUCUUCUUACUUUGCAUUAUGUUAUAUUUUUAACUAUUUUAUGGGCCAAAAUAAUAUAUGUGCUAAUAUGGAUUUAUACAAUUAUAAAUACGAAAACAGUGUACAUUUUAUUCCUAGCAUUAGUAAUAAAAAGUAUUAUGUUUUUACAGGAAAAUUUCCAUUUGAUGUUAUAACACAUAAACUCAGAAAAGACAUCCUCAAAAAAAGUAUGAAUGAGGAAAUCAUUAAAUAUAACAAUGAAAAUCCAGCAAAUAGCAUUAAUCUGAUUUUUAAUUUAAAUGACGAUGCAAUACAAAUAAUUUCUUUUAAUAGAUCUGACAGUAAACCGAAAUGUGAAAAAAAAAUCUUUGAUUUAUAUAAACCUUUUCAUUUAAAAACAACUAAUACUGAUGUUAAUAUAAAUAAUUUUAAUUAUUUGUUAAAUAAUGUUAACUAUAAAUUUAUAACAAAUCCUUAUAACAUUCCUGAACAUAAAGUAAGCGCAACGAAAUAUUUAGAAACAUAUAUCAGAAAAUCAUGGAAAACAAAAUGCACUCACGUGUAUGCAUGUAUGUAUGUAUGCAUGUGUGUAUGUAUGUAUGUAUGCAUGUGUGUAUGUAUGCAUGUAUGUAUGUAUGUAUGCAUGUAUGCAUGUAUGUAUGCAUGUAUGUAUGUAUGCAUGUAUGUAUGUAUGCAUGUAUGUAUGCAUGUAUGUAUGUAUGCAUGUAUGUAUGCAUGUAUGUAUGUAUGCAUGUAUGUAUGUAUAUAUAUAUAUAUGUACAUACACAUAAUACCUUAUUUAUGAAGGGGUUAUACAAAAAGGGAAUUUUAUGUUUACUAACCAUACAUACACAUUUGCACAUAUAUAUGUAUACAUACCUAUAAAUGCAUUUUUUUUUUUUUUUUUUUUUGCACAUUCUAGCUAUACGGAGAAGUAUCAAAAUUUAUGAACAUAAGCGAAAAAAAAAAUAAAAUUUGUUACAUAACGUCUUAUUUAAAGUCU